CAGUAGCGUAUAUUAAAGUUGUUGCAGUUAAAAUGCUCGUAGUUGAAGUUCGGAUGCAGCAGAGCUUGGAAACGCUGUUAUGGUGCUUCCGUUGCUUUUGCUUGUCCACAGUGCGUUGCAAGUACGUAUGUGCUUGUGCGUGCAUUUUACUUUGAGAAACUUAGGGUGUUCCACGCAUGUUACGGCAUGAAUAUUCCAGCAUGGGAUAAUCUGGUACGACUUCCAAUCUGCCAUUUUGGUUCGUAGGUUGGAAGUAAUGAUUAAUAGGGACUGUCGGGGGCAUUGGUAUUUGACUGUCAGAGGUGAAAUUCUUAGAUUCGUUGAGGACCAACCACUGCGAAAGCAUUUGUCAAGGAUGUCUCCAUUAA
rnacentral:rRNA from 1 species